GCAAAGCUGUGAAUAAUGCCUAAGAGCAAAACUAAACCAGAAGUAAAUGACUUUUUUAAUGUGAGACCUUCAACCUCAAUUCCAGCUCCCCAGAGGCUGUCUUUGACUCCUUCUCACGUAAUGGCUCCCACAGAUGUCAACUGGGGAUAAAGACACUUCCACAAAGAAACUGAUGAAGAAACUGCUGCAGAGAAAGAAAUCUACGCUGAUGACUGGCCCUUGCUGCUGAGCCCUGGUUCCUAUCAGUGGAUCUUGAACAGCAUACAAGGAAUGCAGUUCUUUGGUACCAGACAUGGAUGUGCUGGUAUGCAAGCAUGCAUGAGUUCACAAGCGUUUGAUGCAUGAACACAGUUUAGCUCAUGAUCUUGCCAUCUGUAGUUCAAGACAGCUGCAAUUGCUGCACACUCUGACCAAGAAGGCAAGCUUCCCACCUCUGCCACUAAUACCAAUAGGUGACCAGAGAGAAUAUAACACUCCAAGUAACAGUUUCUUCUACUGCCCAUAAUGAAGACCUGUACAGCAAUCCUAGUCCAGCAAUCCUGUCCUGAAAUUAUCCUAUCAACUCACUGACUGAACCAUAAGUAUGAGAUGGCUACUGAAUUAAUUUGUGAACACACACUGUUUUCUUUCUUUCUGAAAACCUGAAACUGUUAGUAUGAUGAAGUUCAGCCAAAGUGUGUUAAAUACUAAAUGGCUUUUGAAGAUGAACAAUGUUAGUUUGGCAACAACAGAAAAGAUUUCCUUAGAGUAAGUUUUCAUCAUCACACAAAUUUUUCGUGUUCUACAAAAUAUACACAUUUUCAAAGAAAUAAAACCUGGGAUAAGCAUUUUUUUGUCUUGGGCCUGAAUGACUUUGUGUACUCUGACAACUUCUGUUCAGCUUACUGACAGGUUCAGAGGGGAAAACAAUUGCUCAGGACGGAAAAGGCAGGAACAACUAAAUUUUCCAAAUUAAAAUAUGAUCCAGAAUGAAUAUUGUCCAAAGCUUGACUUCAACUGAACAUACUUUUUUGCUUUUGACAUGUCCUGGGAUCGUUAACACACCACAGAAAAAUCCUGAUUUUAGAGGAUUUUACUUCUUUCUGGAAGUCUUUUCAAAGAACCUGUUUUCUAACAGCUGUUCUGUUAGUCUUGAUGAUUCAGAUUUAAGAGAAGCAUUGAUAGGCAAGGUAAACUUUUAAUAAGCAAUGUACACUGCAACAGAACUUGGAAACUUCAGAAAUUUAGGUUUAAAAUGAGUUUUCUUAUUGAAAGAGAGCAGGCCACAUGGUGAAGAAAUGUUUCUUUGCUAGUGUGUUUGAUACUUUGACUGUUACUGUGUGAAAUGUAAAUGCAAGUAUAAGACAAUUAAAUUCCAAUGUGAAGGAAAUAAAAACUUGUUCAUAAAUGAAAUGUGAAGAAUUUUAAAAUGUAUUUUCAUAUGAAACGGAUAUGAUCUGAAGAGCAGUAAGUCACAAAACAUAUGUUAUGCUAUUUUAAUUUCUUCAACAGAGAGAAGUGCCUUUAAAACACAGGUGAUCAUCUGCUGACA